AGCAGCCGCGGUAAUUCCAGCUCCAAUAGCGUAUAUUAAAGUUGCUGCAGUUAAAAGCUCGUAGUUGAAUUUCGGGAUCAAUAUGUUGGUCGUGCCUUGGUACGUACUGGCCUAUUGGUUUCUUCCUUCUGACGAACCAUGAUGUCAUUAAUUUGGUGUCUUGGGAAAUCAGGACUGUUACUUUGAAAAAUUGAGUGUUUAAAGCAGGCUCACGCUUGAAUACAUUAGCAUGGAAUAAUAAAAUAGGACGUUUGAUUCUAUUUUGUUGGUUUCUAGGAUCGACGUAAUGAUUAAUAGGGAUAGUUGGGGGCAUUAGUAUUCAAUUGUCAGAGGUGAAAUUCUUGGAUUUAUUGAAGACUAACUACUGCGAAAGCAUUUGCCAAGGAUGUUUUCAUUAAUCAAGGACGAAAGUUAGGGAUCGAAGACGAUCAGAUAC
rnacentral:rRNA from 1 species